GUGUAGCGGUGAAAUGCGCAGAUAUCAGGAGGAACACCGAUGGCGAAGGCAGGUCUCUGGGCAUUAACUGACGCUGAGGAGCGAAAGCAUGGGGAGCGAACAGGAUUAGAUACCCUGGUAGUCCAUGCCGUAAACGUUGGGCACUAGGUGUGGGGGACAUUCCACGUUUUCCGCGCCGUAGCUAACGCAUUAAGUGCCCCGCCUGGGGAGUACGGCCGCAAGGCUAAAACUCAAAGGAAUUGACGGGGGCCCGCACAAGCGGCGGAGCAUGCGGAUUAAUUCGAUGCAACGCGAAGAACCUUACCAAGGCUUGACAUGAACCGGUAACACCUGGAAACAGGUGCCCCACUUUGUGGCCGGUUUACAGGUGGUGCAUGGUUGUCGUCAGCUCGUGUCGUGAGAUGUUGGGUUAAGUCCCGCAACGAGCGCAACCCUCGUUCUAUGUUGCCAGCACGUGAUGGUGGGGACUCAUAGGAGACUGCCGGGGUCAACUCGGAGGAAGGUGAGGACGACGUCAAAUCAUCAUGCCCCUUAUGUCUUGGGCUUCACGCAUGCUACAAUGGCCGGUACAAUGGGUUGCGAUACUGUGAGGUGGAGCUAAUCCCAAAAAGCCGGUCUCAGUUCGGAUUGGGGUCUGCAACUCGACCCCAUGAAGUCGGAGUCGCUAGUAAUCGCAGAUCAGCAACGCUGCGGUGAAUACGUUCCCGGGCCUUGUACACACCGCCCGUCAAGUCACGAAAGUUGGUAACACCCGAAGCCCAUGGCCCAACCCGCAAGGGAGGGAGUGG
rnacentral:rRNA from 1 species